rnacentral:hammerhead_ribozyme from 1 species
CAUCGACUGACGAGUUCCAAAUAGGACGAAAUGUGCAUCCUAGUG